UGGGAACCUUCCCUAUGGUUCGGAAUAGCUCAGGGAAACUUGGGGUAAUACCGGAUAAGCCCUUCGGGGGAAAGAUUUAUCGCCAUUGGAUGGGCCCGCGUCGGAUUAGCUAGUUGGUGAGGUAACGGCUCACCAAGGCAACGAUCCGUAGCUGGUCUGAGAGGAUGAUCAGCCACACUGGGACUGAGACACGGCCCAGACUCCGUACGGAGGCAG
rnacentral:rRNA from 1 species